rnacentral:tRNA from 1 species
GGUUCCAUAGUGUAGCGGUUAGCAUGUCUGCUUUACACACAGAAGGUCCUGGGUUCGUGCCCCAGUGGAGCCA